UACGUAGGGUGCAAGCGUUGUCCGGAAUUAUUGGGCGUAAAGAGCUCGUAGGCGGUUUGUUGCGUCGGCUGUGAAAUCCCGAGGCUCAACCUCGGGUCUGCAGUCGAUACGAGCAAACUAGAGUGUUGCAGGGGAGACUGGAAUUCCUGGUGUAGCGGUGAAAUGCGCAGACUAUCAGGAGGAACACCGGUGGCGAAGGCGGGUCUCUGGGCAACAACUGACGCUGAGGAGCGAAAGCGUGGGGAGCGAACAGGAUUAGAUACCCC
rnacentral:rRNA from 1 species